AGCGAACGCUGGCGGCAGGCUUAACACAUGCAAGUCGAGCGGGCACUUCGGUGUCAGCGGCAGACGGGUGAGUAACACGUGGGAACGUACCCUUUGGUUCGGAAUAACGCUGGGAAACUAGCGCUAAUACCGGAUACGCCCUUUUGGGGAAAGGCUUGCUGCCGAAGGAUCGGCCCGCGUCCGAUUAGCUAGUUGGUGGGGUAAUGGCCUACCAAGGCGACGAUCAGUAGCUGGUCUGAGAGGAUGAUCAGCCACACUGGGACUGAGACACGGCCCAGACUCCUACGGGAGGCAGCAGUGGGGAAUAUUGGACAAUGGGCGCAAGCCUGAUCCAGCCAUGCCGCGUGAGUGAUGAAGGCCUUAGGGUUGUAAAGCUCUUUUGUCCGGGACGAUAAUGACGGUACCGGAAGAAUAAGCCCCGGCUAACUUCGUG
rnacentral:rRNA from 1 species